rnacentral:rRNA from 1 species
CUGCAGCCCGAGUGGUGAUCGAUUUUAUUGAGCCUAAAGCGUCCGUAGCCGGACUAGUAAACCCUUGGGUAAAUUGGGCAGCUUAACUGUCCGAAUUCCGAGAGGACUGCUAGACUUGGGACCGGGAGAGGUCAGAGGUACUCCAGGGGUAGGGGCUAAAUCCUGUAAUCCUUUGGGGACCACCAGUGGCGAAGGCGUCUGACUAGAACGGAUCCGACGGUAAGGGACGAAACCCUGGGGCGCGAACCGGAUUAGAUACCCGCGUAGUCC